rnacentral:rRNA from 1 species
UAAUACGUAGGGGGCUAGCGUUGUCCGGAUUUAUUGGGCGUAAAGAGCGUGUAGGCGGCUUGGUAGGUCUGCUGUGAAAACUCGGGGCUCAACCCCGAGACGUCGGUGGAAACCACCUGGCUAGAGUCCGGAAGAGGAGAGUGGAAUUCCCGGUGUAGCGGUGAAAUGCGCAGAUAUCGGGAAGAACACCUGUGGCGAAGGCGGCUCUCUGGGACGGUACUGACGCU